rnacentral:tRNA from 1 species
CGGGGUGUAGCGCAGCUUGGUAGCGCACUUGGUUUGGGACCAAGGAGUCGGGGGUUCAAAUCCCUCCACCCCGACCA